rnacentral:rRNA from 1 species
AUGGAGCCGACCUUGAAAUACCACCCUUUAAUGUUUGAUGUUCUAACGUUGACCCGUAAUCCGGGUUGCGGACAGUGUCUGGUGGGUAGUUUGACUGGGGCGGUCUCCUCCUAAAGAGUAACGGAGGAGCACGAAGGUUGGCUAAUCCUGGUCGGACAUCAGGAGGUUAGUGCAAUGGCAUAAGCCAGCUUGACUGCGAGCGUGACGGCGCGAGCAGGUGCGAAAGCAGGUCAUAGUGAUCCGGUGGUUCUGAAUGGAAGGGCCAUCGCUCAACGGAUAAAAGGUACUCCGGGGAUAACAGGCUGAUACCGCCCAAGAGUUCAUAUCGACGGCGGUGUUUGGCACCUCGAUGUCGGCUCAUCACAUCCUGGGGCUGAAGUAGGUCCCAAGGGUAUGGCUGUUCGCCAUUUAAAGUGGUACGCGAGCUGGGUUUAGAACGUCGUGAGACAGUU